ACCGAAAUAGCUCAGCUAGGUGAGUGUUAGACUGAAGAUCUAAAGAUCAGUGGUUCAAUCCCGAGUUUUGAGA